GUCCUAAUGUGUUUUACACCCCACCUCCUAUAGAAUGUAAGCUCGAUUGAGCAGGGUCCUCUUCAACCUAUUGUUCCCGUAAGUUUAUUUAGAAUUGUCCUAUUUAUAGUUAAAUCCCCUCUCAUAAUAUUGUAAAGCGCUACGGAAUCUGUUGGCGCUAUAUAAAUGGCAAUAAUAAUAUAAUAAUAAUAAAAGUCACAUAUGCACUGUGAUUAAGUGUAUAGCACCAUCUAGUGGGCCAAACUGGU